UAGAAAAAGGACUUAUUUGUUAUUACUAGGUAGUACAUCUUGCCAACAAGGACCCUGAGAAGGUUCUAGGUCUUCAGAUAAUGUGUAUAUGUUGUCAAUUUCCAGAAACCCUCAAAAUCUUAAUGAAAUUGAACAAUGAUCAAAUCAGCACUCAUUACUCCGGUUUAAGAGGAGGUAAGACAGGACAAUGAGCUGAAAGUCAAGGAAACAAAAGAAUUGAGGGCUGUAACCAAGUCCUCAUCCCAAAUGUUUUGGCGAGAGAAAGCAGUAAGCGAUGGGUACACAUCUCAAACGUCCUUACCACCCAAGUGGCUGUGACAUCACUGGCCAAUCUUUUAUUACACAGACAUCCAAGGAAGGGGGAAAGAAUCUAAAACCACACAGAAGUUAAAACCCAUGUGGUUUUCAUAAGAAGAAAAGAAAGAGAUGGUUUAAUUAAGUAAUAAGACUCGACUCCCUGGCGGUUAAUAAGGUGGAAAUUGGUGAAUAUUAACAUUAAAUACAUCCGGCAAGAGGAAAACAAGCAGUGACAGGGCAGCGUGCCGCCUGGAGGGCAGGAAUGUAGGAAGAAGCAAAGCCUUUCUUGCCCUCCUCACCUUAAGGAUGGGGAGUUAAUGGAUUUUUCUGCAUGCCAACAAGAGUCUCUGAUCUUUUUCCCACCACCUGGCAGACUCCUCCUCCCCAACUGCCUCUCCCAGUCUCCACCCUCUUGAGCUCUAUGAAACAGCAACAGAGACAGAGCUGGGAAGCAUCUACCUGGCUGGACCCCAGGUAAAAUGGGCCCAGUGCAAAUUUGUUGGCCACCUCAUUGACAACUGUGGGUCACAGCCAAUGGCACAAGCAAGGACAAAUAAGUCAACAAAUGGCCUAAUUUGCAUUUGAUAAGGAUCAAAGGCAUU